CAAAAAGUAGUUUAAAUAAAACAGUAGUUUUGGAUACUACCGAUAAGUAUAUUCUUUUUGA
rnacentral:tRNA from 1 species